UUGUAGUCCUCUCUAAUGCCAUGUUGUGUGUAUGAGAAUGUAACAACAUGGCCUCGCUUAUGGACGAGAUUAAAUAGAAAGUUUGAAAUUAUUUAAAAGAUUUUUCAAAUGCACUUGGAACAUAAAACUACACCU
rnacentral:snoRNA from 1 species